CAGGUGCUGCAUGGCUGUCGUCAGCUCGUGUCGUGAGAUGUGGGUUAAGUCCCGCAACGAGCGCAACCCUUGCCAUCAGUUGCUACGAAAGGGCACUCUGAUGGGACUGCCGGUGACAAACCGGAGGAAGUGGGGAUGACGUCAAGUCCUCAUGGCCCUUAUAGGUGGGGCUACACACGUCAUACAAUGGCCGGUACAAAGGGCAGCCAACCCGCGAGGGGGAGCCAAUCCCAUAAAGCCGGUCGUAGUCCGGAUCGCAGUCUGCAACUCGACUGCGUGAAGUCGGAAUCGCUAGUAAUCGUGGAUCAGCAUGUCACGGUGAAUACGUUCCCGGGUCUU
rnacentral:rRNA from 1 species